rnacentral:lncRNA from 1 species
AAUUAGGCCUGUAACAGAGUGCAGCUGAACACUGCAACAAAUCCACUGCUGUGAGUGUAGAGAUGAGGUGCUGCUGUUCCUCUCCUCCAGCUCCUGCUUUCUGUUAGAUCCAGCAGAUGUCUGGCUACAGGUUAGUAUGUCAUGCAGAGAGGUGAUGUUAUGGAUAAAAUACUCCUUUCUGGGAGGAUGAGUUAUUAUUAUUUUUUUUUGCCUGGUCACCUAGCUUACCUGCAGCUGCUCGGUCUCUGAUGCCUGGAAUGUCUCAAAAGUACCAGCUGGGCCUGGAGGGAGGGGAAGGAAGAGACAGAGCAGGGCUGUUCUUUGUGUUGGCAGCGUGCAAUUACAUCAGCUAAAGCUUAAUGUCAAACUGCAAACAAACCCUGGGAACGUGAAAUGUGUUAUCAUUUUAAUUGUUUACUGAUUUGAAAGCUGAUUGGAAAACUUAAAUAUUGUGGAUCUCCUUGGAGGUUUAUUAUUGCUUUAUCUCAACAUGAGAUGAUAUUGCCAUCAGGACUUCUACUUUCCGUGGCCAUCCAAUUUCCCACUUGACUCAUGCAUUGUAACAUCUACAGGGCUGGAAGGCUUUCCAGGAGGUCACCAUCCACUCAGUACCAGCCUACGUCUUCCAGUGUUUGCUUGAUGUGCUCUGGGGAGAUGUUUCUGGACUGUCAGCAACUCAGCCAUGUCUCCUGGGGUUGGCUGCCCCAAAGUGUACCCAUUCACUCCAGCUACAAGUUUCAGUAA